CCCUUAGAUGUCCGGGGCCACACGCGCGCUACACUGAAGGAAUCAGCGUGGCUUUCUCUCUGACCCGAAAGGGUUGGGAAACCCGUUGAAUCUCCUUCGUGAUAGGGAUUGGGGCUUGAAAUUGUUCCCCAUGAACGAGGAAUUCCCAGUAAGCGCGAGUCAUAAGCUCGCGUUGAUUACGUCCCUGCCCUUUGUACACACCGCCCGUCGCUACUACCGAUUGAACGGUUUAGUGAGGGCCUCGGAUUGGUCUCGGCCCGCUCUUUACCGGGCGGCGCCGUUGGUCGAGAAGACGCUCGAACUUGAUCGUUUAGAGGAAGUAAAAGUCGUAACA
rnacentral:rRNA from 1 species